GACGAACGCUGGCGGCGUGCCUAAUACAUGCAAGUCGUGCGGACCUUUUAAAAGCUUGCUUUUAAAAGGUUAGCGGCGGACGGGUGAGUAACACGUGGGCAACCUGCCUGUAAGACUGGGAUAACGCCGGGAAACCGGGGCUAAUACCGGAUCGUUUUUCCUCCGCCUGGAGGAAAAAGGAAAGGCGGCUUCGGCUGCCACUUACAGAUGGGCCCGCGGCGCAUUAGCUAGUUGGCGGGGUAACGGCCCACCAAGGCAACGAUGCGUAGCCGACCUGAUAGGGUAAACGGCCAAAUUGGGAAUGAGAACGGGCCAAAACUCCUUCGGGAGACAGCAGUAGGGGAUCUUGCGCAAUAGACGAAAGUCUGACGAAGCAACGCCGCGUGGGUGAAGAAGGCCUUCGGGUCGUAGAACUCUGUUGACGGGGAAGGACAAGUGCCGUUCGGACAGGACGGCGACUUGACGGUACCCGGCCAGAAAGCCACGGCUAACUACGUG
rnacentral:rRNA from 1 species